UGUUGGAGAGUUUGAUCCUGGCUCAGGACGAACGCUGGCGGCGUGCUUAACACAUGCAAGUCGAGCGGAAAGGCCCUUCGGGGUACUCGAGCGGCGAACGG
rnacentral:rRNA from 1 species